rnacentral:lncRNA from 1 species
UUCUCUGAAUUCUACAUGGUAAACAUGCUCAUCCAGAGGAUCUGCCUGGACGGGCAAAGGUGCUAGAUGGUUUUCAGUUCUUCUUCCGUUAGUCUUUUUGGAAGGCAUAUUCUACAACAGAAGGGAAACUUGAAUUAGACAGAGAGUUUAACUUGAACUCAUGCUCACUUGCAUGACAUGGACAGUGAAAGAAGGGAAACUUUUUUUAAAAAUGCCUUAUAACCUCUUGCCCAUAAGUGUGGAGCGCU